rnacentral:rRNA from 1 species
GACGAACGCUGGCGGCGUGCCUAAUACAUGCAAGUAGAACGCUGAAGAGAGGAGCUUGCUCUUCUUGGAUGAGUUGCGAACGGGUGAGUAACGCGUAGGUAACCUGCCUUGUAGCGGGGGAUAACUAUUGGAAACGAUAGCUAAUACCGCAUAACAAUGGAUGACACAUGUCAUUUAUUUGAAAGGGGCAAUUGCUCCACUACAAGAUGGACCUGCGUUGUAUUAGCUAGUAGGUGAGGUAAUGGCUCACCUAGGCGACGAUACAUAGCCGACCUGAGAGGGGGAUCGGCCAAACUGGGAAUGAGACACGGCCCAGGCUCCUAAGGGAGGCAGCAGUAGGGAAUCUUCGGCCAUGGGGGCAACCCUGACCGAGCAACGCCGCGUGAGUGAAGAAGGUUUUCGGAUCGUAAAGCUCUGUUGUAAGUCAAGAACGGGUGUGAGAGUGGAAAGUUCACACUGUGACGGUAGCUUACCAGAAAGGGACGGCUAACUACGUG